rnacentral:sRNA from 1 species
GAUGUCAAACCCUUUUGACAUCUUCAGUAUA